rnacentral:rRNA from 1 species
UACGUAGGGGGCGAGCGUUGUCCGGAUUCAUUGGGCGUAAAGAGCUCGUAGGCGGCUUGGUUAGUUGGGUGUGAAACCUCCAGGCUUAACCUGGAGACGCCACUCAAUACUGCCAUGGCUAGAGUCCGGUAGGGGACCACGGAAUUCCUGGUGUAGCGGUGAAAUGCGCAGAUAUCAGGAAGAACACCCGUGGCUAAGGCGGCUCUCUAGUACGGUACUGACGCUGAGACGCGAAAGCGUGGGGAGCGAACAGG